GGGAAUUUUCCGCAAUGGGCGAAAGCCUGACGGAGCAAUACCGCGUGAGGGAUGACGGCCUAUGGGUUGUAAACCUCUUUUUUCAGGGAGGAAUCAAUGACGUGUACCUGAAGAAUAAGCAUCGGCUAACUCCGUGCCAGCAGCCGCGGUAAGACGGAGGAUGCAAGUGUUAUCCGGAAUCACUGGGCGUAAAGCGUCUGUAGGUGGUUUAAUAAGUCAACUGUUAAAUCUUGAGGCUCAACCUCAAAAUCGCAGUCGAAACUAUUAGACUAGAGUAUAGUAGGGGUAAAGGGAAUUUCCAGUGGAGCGGUGAAAUGCGUAGAUAUUGGAAGGCACACCGAUGGCGAAGGCACUUUACUGGGCUAUUACUAACACUCAGAGACGAAAGCUAGGGUAGCAAAUGGGAUUAGAUACCCCAGUAGUCA
rnacentral:rRNA from 1 species